GAUGAGCGCUGGCGGCGUGCCUAAUACAUGCAAGUCGAGCGAACAGAUGAGGAGCUUGCUCCUCUGACGUUAGCGGCGGACGGGUGAGUAACACGUGGAUAACCUACCUAUAAGACUGGGAUAACUACGGGAGACCGGAGCUAAUACCGGAUAAUAUAUUGAACCGCAUGGUUCAAUAGUGAAAGACGGUUUUGCUGUCACUUAUAGAUGGAUCCGCGCCGCAUUAGCUAGUUGGUAAGGUAACGGCUUACCAAGGCAACGAUGCGUAGCCGACCUGAGAGGGUGAUCGGCCACACUGGAACUGAGACACGGUCCAGACUCCUACGGGAGGCAGCAGUAGGGAAUCUUCCGCAAUGGGCGAAAGCCUGACGGAGCAACGCCGCGUGAGUGAUGAAGGUCUUCGGAUCGUAAAACUCUGUUAUUAGGGAAGAACAAAUGUGUAAGUAACUAUGCACGUCUUGACGGUACCUAAUCAGAAAGCCACGGCUAACUACGUG
rnacentral:rRNA from 1 species